AUGGAUAAAUGAUGAUAAACAAACCUUGAACUCUCUCACUGAUUAUGUGAUGGAAAACCUAAGGUCUGAUCUCUUU
rnacentral:snoRNA from 1 species